GGAUUGAUCUGUAGCUCCACACCCGCUGGAUUGGAUCGGGCGACAUCAUCAGAGGCGACCUAUCAAGGGGAAAGUACCGAAUCAUCUUAGUGACAGAUCUUCCUUGAGUGGAUUUUGAUCUUCUUCUCUGUUCGUGGGCAAGAAGAGAUCAUUUGCCCUAGCCUUGAUCUUGGAGGUAAGUGUUUAGUUUUGGUUGUGGAUUCGAGCUUGUGAUCUUCUUGGUUUGAUUUGGGGUUGGUAGGUGAUGAAAGUGUGGGCAGCAGUAAGCAUCAUACCCAUGAUUUCUAGCAGUGGUUGCUUCAGUUUUGGUUCUUUGGUAACUCUCGGGUGAAGAGCUUGAUUUGGGAUCAAUUGAGCUGUUAG